GAGGCCUUGCAGGAUGUUUAUGGUGUGCCGGAGAAGGAGUCUUUUAGCUCUGGACUCUUCCAGUCUCCCUCUACUGUGACCCAUCCCUGCAGGCGGUCUUUGUAGCCUUUGCCUGUCAAACCGAGGGCUUCAACAGGCAGGAAGAGAAAGAGUGCCCAGAAGUCACCCUCAGUUCCUGAAAGCAUUGGCCCAGAAAUGACACAGAUUCCUGCCAACAUCCCACAGGCAAAAUUGCAUACAUGGCCACACCUGGAUGUAAAGGGAGCUGGUAAUGUAAAUCGUGCCUGAAUAGCUGCUUCCUGGAAGGAGUCUGUAUCACAAGGGGUGUGGACUCUGGUUGUCAUACAAUGUAUGUCAUGCACAGGUGUGCACACGAAGCUGUCUGUCUGGGGUGGCUGUGUGUGCCAAGCACAGAUGGAGAAGAGACACUUUUCAUUUGGAACAAUUAGUACUGUGUAGGUUCCAAUUUGCUUUGUAACUUAGAGAAGAACAAUGGGGAUGGUUCAUUGUAAAGAACAGG
rnacentral:lncRNA from 1 species